GAUGAACGCUAGCUCCAGGCUUAACACAUGCAAGUCGAGGGACCGGCGCACGGGUGAGUAACACGUAUCCAACCUGCCCUUUACUCGGGGAUAGCCUUUCGAAAGCAAGAUUAAUACCCUAUAUAAAGGAUGGGGAUGCGUUCCAUUAGGUUGUUGGUGAGGUAACGGCCCACCAAGCCUUCGAUGGAUAGGGGUUCUGAGAGGAAGGUCCCCGACAUUGGAACUGGGACAAGGUCCAAACGCCGACGGGAGGCAGCAGUGAGGAAUAUUGGUCAAUGGGCGCAAGCCUGAACCAGCCAAGUAGCGUGAAGGAUGAAGGCUUAUGGGUCGUAAACUUCUUUUAUAUAAGAAUAUGUAUUAUAUGAAUAAGGAUCGGCUAACUCCGUGCCAGCAGCCGCGGUAAUUC
rnacentral:rRNA from 1 species